UACAGAGGGUGCGAGCGUUAAUCGGAAUUACUGGGCGUAAAGCGCACGUAGGUGGGCGAGUAAGUUGUUGGUAAAAAGCCUGGGCUUAACCUGGGUCGGCCCAGCAAAACUGUUUGUCUAGAGUGUAUUAGAGGGAAGUGGAAUUUCCGGUGUAGCAGUGAAAUGCGUAGAUAUCGGAAGGAACACCAGUGGCGAAGGCGACUUCCUGGAAUACCACUGACACUGAGGUGCGAAAGCGUGGGGAGCAAACAGG
rnacentral:rRNA from 1 species